rnacentral:rRNA from 1 species
UACGUAGGGUGCGAGCGUUAAUCGGAUUUACUGGGCGUAAAGGGCGCGUAGGCGGUCGUGACAAGUCACUUGUGAAAUCUCCGGGCUUAACUCGGAACGGUCAAGUGAUACUGUCGGACUAGAGUACAGAAGGGGCAACUGGAAUUCUCGGUGUAGCGGUGAAAUGCGUAGAUAUCAAGAGGAACACCUGAGGUGAAGACGGGUUGCUGGGCUGACACUGACGCUGAGGCGCGAAAGCCAGGGGAGCAAACGGG